rnacentral:lncRNA from 1 species
AAAAGGUUAUUUCACUGUAUGUUUUGAGUUAAAAUAUGGAAAUUUCAUGCAAAGUCAAAAUAAAUAUUAUUCAUACAAUAAUUGUAUCGUUCACAUUCAAUUCUGCAAAUUUCCUCUUAAUUAGGUGGGAAUGGGUCUCUUGCACGGUGGUGGCUCGUUUGCAAAGUUGAAAUGGAAUGUGCAUGGUGGCUCAAAUUACCCAGCAGCAUACACGUGAGUAGCCACGUGGAUUAAUCGUCCAUGUCAGCAGCAUAUAUUAAGAUUUUCAGGUUCACGUCAGAUUUCCAUCCAAAGUAACAGCAAUAAUUAACGGCAGGACGGAAAAUGCUAAAAAAUGGCAUGUUUAGGGACGAAUAAUGUCACUCCAACUUGUUUAGGGACGAAAAACGAAUAAGUGGUAAAGUAUAAGGACGAAAAAUGUAAUUAUCCCUAUAUAUAUAUUUAGUAAAGGGUUAAAUAUGUCCACAAUAUUCAAACAUACGUGGUCAACGUGCCACAUCAGUUUUGGCUGAUAGAACAACUAACAGUAGGGGGUUCUUGUAUUUUUCGAGACCAUAGGGGGUGAAUGCAAUAUUUUUCAUAGUAGAGGGGUGCAAACAAUAUUUUACCCCAAAUUAUAAGAUUAAAUCUCACAUUAUUUUUUGGGCAAAUGGCAAAUAGGCCCAUGACAAGGGCACUUAAUUAAAAGAGGGACAUCCAACUUUUUUGUUUUACAAAUAAAUCCAGCCCAUUCAAAUUUAUUUGCAAAUAAGGAAAAUCCUUUAUAUAUACCAAAAUUACCCCCAAUUCAUUGAAACCCAAUUUAACUCCAAUUUCAUGAUUUACACCACAAUUUAGCCCAAUUUCAUCAAUUAACCAAUUUUAACCAUAAUUUCAAUUUUGGCCCCAAUUUUGACCCACCACCACCGGAGACCGCCGGCCGCCGCUGUUGACAGGCGUUGACUUUUUUUUUUUUUUUUUUGAAAAAUUAAUUUUUCCCUGAAAUUUUUCCGGCCGGUCAACUGCCGUUGACCGCCGGGUCUCCGGCAUUGAUUUUUUUUUUUUUUUUUAUAAUUUUGUUUUUUCUUACAAAAAAUAUUUUAAUUAAUAUUACUGUCUUGGCUGCUAAAUUACUGUCUCCGGCAGUUAUUUAACUGUCGGAGACAGUAAUUUAACUGACUUUUUUAUUCUUAAAAAAAAUAUUUUUAAUUAAUAUUAUUGUAUUCGUUGUUAAAUUACUGUCUCCAGCAGUUAUUUAACUGUCGGAGACAGUAAUUUAACUGUUAAUUGACUUUUUUUUUUCAAUUUUUUUCUUACAAAAAAAAUAUUUUAAUUAAUAUUACUGCCUUGACUGCUAAAUUACUGUCUCCAACAGUAAUUUAACUGUCUUAGACAAUAAUAUUAAUAAUAUUACUGUUCGCCAAAAUAAUAUUCAUAAUAUUAUUGUCCCAAACAGUAAUAUUACUGUUUGAUAUAGUAAUUUAGUAGCCAGGAAGUAAUAUUAAUUAAAAUAUAUUUUUUCUAAGAAAAACAAAUUAAAAAAAAAAAGUCAAAGACGGAGACCGGCGGUCAACGGUUUGACCGGCCGGAAAAAAAAUUCAGGAAAAAAAAGAGUUUUCAAAAAAAAAAAAAAAAAAAAUCAACGUCGGAAUCUGGCCGGAAAAAAAAAUUCAGAAAAUAAAUUAUUUUCUGGAAAAAAAAAUUUGGGGGUUAAUGUGAUAUAUUUGUUUAAAUCCAGGGUCAAUGUGUAAUAUUAAGGAAGUUAGAGCAUAAUGGAUGGAAUUGAUAAGAAUUAUAUUAUGGAGGGUAUUUUGGACUAAAGACAUAGGGAUGGGUUUAAUUGAGAGACUGUUUUUUUUUGUGGACCAAAAUGCAUUUAAGUCCCAUGUGAUGGGCUUUUUUGCCAUUCUCCCAUAUUUUUUAGGGAAAAUUACGAGAAUCCCAUUGAGGUAAGGUCUAAUUACGAAAAUCACCACCAUGUUUGUAUAAUUACGAAAAAAACUCCUCUAACCUGAUUUUGACCGUGUAUUAUAACAUAACUGAUGUUUUCUCUGUCUUACCCUAAAGUAAUCUGAAAUAAAAUAAAAAAUAUAUCGAAACCCUUCUGAAUGUUAACCAUUAAAAUUAACCCCCUCAAGCAGUAAUAACAAUGGAUAUGAUUAUGGGCUGGGACGGAAAGAAGAAACAUUUUUUUUUUCGGAAAAAUUACAUUUUUCGUCCGCAUACUUUAUCCAUUUUUUUUUUUAAAUUGUCCAUAAUUAUUUUGGAGUUACAAUACAAUCUUAGUCCUUAAUCAUGCCAUUCAAUGACAAAAUUGGUCCGCCGUUUAUUUUUUCUGUUAAGUUGGAUGGAAAACGGCAUGUGCCCUUCACAUGCCUUCAAUUUACAACACUACAUGAAAAUGGUCUUUUAACAAAAUGCAUUGCGUAUUGUUAGAUCAAUUUUUUCAUAAUUAAAAUUUUGUGAAAUUCAGAAUUAUUUAAAUUCCAAAAAAUAAAAUCGAUAUAUAUUGUUUUAAGAUAUUUUGAGAAAUAUUCUUUAAAUAAUUGAAAUAUUGUUUAAAAAACGAAAUAUUGCUUCAAAAUCAAGACUUACGGAAUUCGAAUGAAAAACAUUGUUUCAAAUAAAAUAAAAAUCCGAUCGGAAUAGACGGAAUAAGAAUUCUUUGUUCCAAUCUUCACCCAUAUUUAGUAAUGUAAAACUCGAUAAAUCGUUUCAAAAUAUUUUUAGAAAUACUGUGUAAAAAAUUAAUAUAAUAUUUUUAAACUGGGAUUUUUUUAAUUCGAAUGAAAAUUAUUGUAUUAAAAUAAAACAAAAAUCCGAUCGUAAUAGGCAAAAUGAUUUUGUUGUUUAGUUGGUUUAUAAAAUAAUGUGUAAAGUAAUUUAGGAAAAAAGUGCAAAAAGAAUUAACCUAAAACUAGGGAAAAACUAUUUUCUUAAAAAAGAAGAGGAAAAGCGAAGAAUAAACUAUUUCUCUCACGGUCGAAUGUUGUGGUCACACAACAUGCCGGUCGGAUGUCACUAAAAAAAAAAUCAUGACUGUUUUUCUUUGAAACCAAACAUAUUUUGUGAUUUUGAAAAUUCGGGAUUUCAUUUUCUUUAUGAUUUACUUUUCUUCUUUUUGAAACCGCGAUCCAUACAGAGCCUUCGGUUCAUUUUUUUAUGAAAUACUCUGGCUGGUUCAGUUACCGCUAUAAGGAUCUACUGACUAAAUGAAAGUGACUAGUAACACGUUCGGUUGACAAGAUUCACAUUUUUUCAAAUCCGCUACCAAAAUCAAAGUGCACAAUUAAAUGUUACUAUUUCAUUAAAUUAAAGUGAUUGAAAAAUAGUAAAGAGAGAGAAUUCAAGAGAAAGUAUAAACGUGAAUUAUUUAUUGUGAAAACGUGACCCUUAUCGGGUCUUUACAUUUGUUUAUAUAGGAAAUAUCUUAAUAGACAGUUUCUAUUUAGAAUUACUUUUUUUUUUGUCCGAGAUUUACACUGAGUGCUCAAUUACUGAUCAUAAUUUAUAUGUUUUUCUUAGGGUAAACAGCAUAAAAUCCCCCUAUGUUAAGGAAAACCUGACCCAAAUCUCCCUGUGUUUUUUUUCUUGCAUGAAGCCCACUUGUGUUUUGUUUUAUUUUGCACGAAAUUCCCUUUUCCGUUAAAAGUUCCGUUAACUAUAGAGGGGAUUUUAUGCAAGUUUUUUGUAACAUAGGGGGAUUUAGUGCAUAUUUUCUAUAAUAUAAUGGAAUUUUAUGCAAACAUUAACUUAUUUGUUUAAAUUUCAUAUUAUUUUCUGACUAUAUAUUGGUGUUUUACGCCAAUACAUUGUCUCCGUUUUUAACAUAAUAAUCUCAAAAGUAAAACACGAAAUUUAUAAAUGCAUUAUAUAUACAGCCUGUUUGGCUAAGCUUAUAAGCUCCUAAAAAUAUAUUUUAAGAUGUUUAAGAACUUAUAAGCUGUUUAAAAGUGUUUGGUAAAAAAAUUAGAAAAGAUCUUAUUUUUUCCAAAAAUAAGGUGUUAGGGAGCUUAUAAGAUAUUUUUAAAAAACUACCUCCACCCCACCUUUUUUCUUUAAGAUCUUAUUUGAUUAUUUACUAAAACACUCAAAAUACAAAAUUACCCUCAAAUACUUCAUUAUAUUACAUAAAUACUAAUAACAUUCAUAUUUUAUCAAAACAACGUAUUCUUAUAAUCAAGAUUAAUUAUUAGUUAAAAUAUAAUUAUCAUAAUAAUUGUAAAAAAAAUCGUUCCCUAUUUACAUUUUAUAUGUAUAUAGAACACCCGAAUAUUCUUAUUAUCUCAAUAAUAAAUUAUAUUUCUUUUAUCUAUAAAAAAAAUUACAUUUCUUUUAGAACCUUUAUUUUGUAUUAAUAUAUUAAUAUCAUAUUAUUAUUUUUAAUUAAAAAAUUAAUUUGUAAAUAUUAUAAUAAUAUUUUAGGAACAAACAUAUUUGAGUCAAACAAGUUUAACAGUUAUAAUGGCGUCAUGUACUUUUUUGUCAUUAUAGCGAUAAACAGACAUUUUAUUUCCAAACAUCUGAACAACUUAUAAAAACUAAAAGUAACUUAUAAGCUACAUAUUCAAACACCUUAAAAAAUAAUUUUUAAAAUAAGAUCUAACAGCUUUGCUUAUCAGCUCUUAAAACAUUUAAUAAGAUGUAGGAGCUUAUAAGAUGUUUUCAAUAAGCUUAGCCAAACGGGCUCAUAGUCCAGCAUCAAACUAAACAAUUGCUUCAUUCAUAAUAGAGAUUACAAGUAAAUAAAAAACAAUAGCAUCAAUUUGCGUCUUCAUUGUGAAUGAACUGAAGCAACUUAGAUCUCGCCUCUGUAGGAAUACGAACCGGACGAUAGUUUUUAUCAAGCCAAGCUAUUGUAGCUCUUGCCUCCAAGACUUGCUGGGCAAACAAAAACAAUAAUUUUCGAGUUCAGAAAUUAUAUCAGCCAUUUCAAAAGCCGGCUUCUUUAUAUACACACACACACACAUAUAGUUAAAUGGGUGAAAAUAUGUGAGACCUCUAGACUAGGAAUCUUGUAGAUCAAAUGUCCGAAGAAAAAUCGAGUAGCGGAAAAAUCGUACAACGUCACAUUCACAACAAACCUGUCUCCGCUCUGCUAGGACAGGAAAAAACACAUGCUAAUUAAGGGUUGUGUGAUCAUAAGCAAUGAAAAAUGAAAAAAAUUAAGGGCAAAUUACCUCCACCCCUGAGUUAUGAUCAAAUUACGAAAACCCCCCUCUUGUUAGGGUAAUUACAACCAUCCCCUCAACUAUGUAUUAUUUUACGAAAAGACCCUUCUAGAGGUAAAUUUAGGGAUGUUAAUUCGGUAAAACCGAACCGAAAUUUCGGUACGCCAACAUUCAUACCGUUUACCAAACUAAGUAUAAGAUUUGGUUCGGUAAAUAACCGAAUUACAUAAAUUUUAUGUAAAAUUAUUUAAAAGGAGGGUGUGGCUGUAAUUACCCAAACAAUAGGGGUUUUUUUCAUAAUUUGACCAUACCUCAGGGGGUGGCCGUAAUUUGUCCAAAAAUGAUAUUGCACGAAUUUCUAUUAGGGUUCCUUUUGAGCUCACCGAUAUGAAUAUCAUAGUCUUACCCUUAAAGGCGAAAGGAACUUGAGCGACAAUUCCGUUAAAGCCAAUGCAUCUCCGGUUUGAAUAAUGGCAUCUACGUUUAUACCGAUCCUAUCCAAAAGUUCACGAUGACCUGUUUGUGUAUUAAAAGUGCAACCACUCAUUGAAAUGUAUUUUGCAAAUCGAUAAAAAACGGAUAGAAAAAUAACUUAGGGGAGGUGGAGCCAAAAUUAUUCAUUUUGUCAGCUGGAUUUCGCGUUCGAGGGGCCAAAUGUACCAAAAAAAGAAAAACCAUAAACACAAAUAUUAAGAAUUUUAAUAAACUGUGGCUUCAUUUUGGGAAAACUCGUAAAAAGUACUAAAAUAUUUUUUAUGAUUUAAUGAUGUGAUAGAAGAGAGUAAAUACUUAAUAGAGUUACAUAAUAAGGAUAAAAAAGGGAAAAAAUACAUUAAAUGUUGGACGGGACUCAACAGUGAUAGAUUGGGAAAAAUACAGUUUUCAUCCCUCAAGUUUGCACUGAUUUGCACACUUGGUCCCUCAUGUUCACAAAAAAAAACACAUUUGGUCCCUCAUGUUUCAAAAAUUAAACACUUUUAGUCAUUUCCGUUAAUUUUCCGUUAGUACUAACGGAAUCAACUGUGUACCCAUCACUGCCUUUACUAUCCGACUAACGGUAAAUUGACGGAAAUAAAAAAAGUGUUAAAUUAUUGAAACAUGAGGGACCAAAUGUGUUUUUUGUGAACAUGAGGGACCAAAUAUGAAAUCAGUGCAAACUUGAUGGAUGAAAACUGUAAUUUUCCCGUGAUACAUUAUAUGGAAGAAAACAAAUCAUGUAAAGUAACUUCAAAAAGAAAAAGAAACAAGAAAACAAAAGAUGGCGAUAAUAAUGAAUAAUCAUUAAUGAUAUGCAUGCCUUCCAUUGUAUUGCCUACAUGAAUGUAAGUCCUAAUUAAAAAAUCUAACAUAUCUAAAAAUCCCAACUAAUAAUAUUCUUCAAGAAUAAAAAAUCUGCAAAUUCACAAAUGUACAAAAAUAUAUGAUGAAAGAACUCUCACCAUGUUGACAAUAACUCGAAUAAAUUGCAUUGUUUACGACACCGUAUUGAUCCAAUUCAUAGUCUCGGACUUUAAGUUCAAUUUCGUGGAAUUCCUUCAUUCUGGCAAGAAACGGAGCAAGAUUAUUAAAAAAAAAAUCUGAAAUAGUUAAAUAUGCACUGAAAAUAUACCAAGUAUUUAAGCAUGCAGGAAACGAAAAAUGAAUAUCAGAUCAGUAAACAUAUUUAUUAGUCUAUUCUUUCCACACUAGAUAAGCUUCGACGCAUUUCACGUGCAACACGUAUGCACGCGACCAAUGUGCAGCCGCAUACCCUUGAUUUUUUUUUAAACAUGUAUCUAUAUAUUAUAUACAGUUAUAACGUGAAAUAUUUAAUUAUGUGAUUGGUUGUAGGCUUGUAGCUCAAGUGGUAAAGAAUAUUAACCCACCUCAUUCAAAGGUACUUCAAUUGUUUCACUAUUUUUUAUUUUUUAUUUCUUUUAUCGGAAACAGAAUAUAUUAAGAUUGAAAUAAAAAAGUGUCAACAAGAGGGAAACAUCCAUCUAGGGGUGGAAAUUGGAACCAAAAAUCCGAUUUCCGCCGAAUCCGAUCCGAAAUAUUCCGAUUUUGGAACGACUUUUUCAAUUCCAAAUUCCGAAAUUCCGAUUUCCGAAAAUUCCGAAAAAAAUCGGAUCGGAAUCGGAAAUACAUAACAUAAUUUCGGAAUUUCCGAUUUCCGAUCCGAAAUUAUUCCGAUUAUUUCCGAUUAUUUCCGAUUUAUUCCGAUUUUUUCCAUUAUAAAUAUAAUAUAUAAUAUAUGUAUAUAUCUACNNNNNNNNNNNNNNNNNNNNNNNNNNNNNNNNNNNNNNNNNNNNNNNNNNNNNNNNNNNNNNNNNNNNNNNNNNNNNNNNNNNNNNNNNNNNNNNNNNNNCGAAGACACCACCACCAGCGCCUCGCGGUGUUUAUUAAGAAUAUUUGUUUGGAUUUUAUUUUCAAUUAAGCUAUGUUUGUGAAUUGUGAGUCUAUUGUGUGUUUUUUGGUGUCUGUUGUGUGUUUUUGUGUGAGUAUGUUCUGUUUUGCUACUGUGUCGGUGCUCAUUUUUUUUUUUUCUUUUUUUUUUUUGUUUUUUUUUUGGGAAAAUUCCGAAAAAUUUUCGAAAAAUUCCGAAAAUUUCCAAACAAUUUCCGAAAAAUUUCCGAAAAUUCCGAAAAUGAACAUUUCCGAAAAAUUCCGAUUUUCCGAAAAUUCCGAAAAAAUCGGAAUCGGAAUCACUUUUUGAAUUCCGAAAAAAUCGGAAUCGGAAUCGGAAGUCGUUUUGGACUUCCGAAAAAAAUCGGAAAUUUUCCGAAACACCCAAAUCCGAUCCGAUCCGUCCGAUUUCCACCCCUACAUCCAUCACAAAAAAAAUUAUCUUGGAAAUACGCAUUAUCUUAAGUUAUGUUCAAAUUACAAAAACCCCCUUCCUGUUUGGAUAAUUACAGUCAUUCCAUCAACUAUGUAUUAUCUUAAGAAAAAACCCCUCCAGAGAUAAAUUUAGUGAUGUUAAAUCGGUAAAACCGAACCGAAAUUUCUGUACGCCAACAUUUCAUACAGUUUACCAACUGAAUAUACAAUUUGGUUCGGUAAAUAACGCAAUUACAUAAAUUUAAUAUAAAAAUAUUCAAAAAGAGCGUGCGAAUAUAAUUAUCCAAUCAAGAGGGAGUUUUUCGUAAUUUAAUUAUACCUCAGGGGUGGCCGUAAUUUGCCCCUUAUAUAUAACCCAAGUACACAACAAUGAAAUUAGAACGUCAAGAAAAGACUUAAAAUCGAUAAUAAGGGAAAAACAAAAAAAAAAAAUACUUGAAGUACUAUUAUACCCUUUGCCGCCUUUAAAGUCAAACGCAACAGCAGCGUUGCAGGGCUUCAUCCGAGGUUAGGACAACCUGACACGUGGCAUCCAAGAAUUGGCUGGAAAAUUUGAAUAGGGCCGGGGAAAAGUGACGGUGGCAGGGUUGAUUAAAGACCAAGACAUUUUACUUAGACCAAUUAGAUUUUGAUGAAAAAGAGUGAGUACUGCAAUUGACUUAUUUUUUGCAAAAUUAUUAUUACUUGUUAUUUAUGAGAAAAAUUGCAAGCUAAGCCACUUGCAUUUAUUUAUUUAUUUUUUUUUUCCUAAAAGUUGAUAGGUUUGUUUAUUGAUGGUUCUUUCUCAAUAGCUCCAAACUCUUGGUCGUUCACAUGCAAAUUAAACAAUUUUAAUCAGUGCUUAGGCUCUUUCGUUUGUCCCGAAUAUUAUUUAAGGGAUUAUUUUGUAGACCCCUCAUUUCCAAAUUAUAUAGAACUAACUACCAAGUGCAUUAUACCUUAGGGGAAACUCCCCUCAUUUCGAAAAUAUUUUGACAUACCCCCUGGGCCACCCUAAAGUUCAUAUAAUACCAUUUUAAAAUCAGUUUUAAACCCUAGCCACCCUAGUCACUCAUAUUUCGGUCUCUCUCUUCUUCUCCCAGAUUCAAAAUCCCGCCUUCACAAACCUCCCACCGGCGAAAUUGCUUCCCGGAGUCAUAACUCUCUCUCCGGUGGUCGGAAUUCGAUGGUUUAACUACCGUUGGAUUCCUCUCGUCGAGCUCUUUCUUUUGGUGGUGAUUUCAUUCAGUUUGGAGCGCAUAUCUGUUUCUGCAAUUUUUUUUCAUUCGACGACGGUGGUCUUGCCGGAGGUGUAUUUUGUGUUCCACCAUUCGAAAUUUGACGGGACCGUUGGAUUCCUCUCGUCGAGAUCUAUAUUUUGAUGGUAAUUUCGUUGUUUUUAUGUUCUCAGAUUUAUUUCUAUAUUUUUUUGCAUUUGCGGGCGCGCGAAACCGUGGGUGGUUAUUAACGGCGCCUAGGGUUUUGGUAGGAGGCGAGGGGGUGAAGAGUCACUGUCUGUUUGAAUUAAAAUAUGUAGCAUUUCCCAGCAAUAACCCCUCUCCAUCUAUCUCUCGAUCUCUUAGUGUUUGUUGAUUGUUGAGUGUUUUGAUGUUUCUUCAAAUUUAUUGAUUUGCACUAAAGUAAUUUUUUUAUUUUUUUUAUUUUGCAAUUGCAGCUUAGUGAAAGCCAUUGAUCCUCUCCUUGAAGGUGUCAAAAAUUUGGUUGAAGUUACAUGUGAAUCAGUGUUCAACAAACUGUAUACAUUACUAUACAUUACUAUACAUAUAGUAACAUGUAGUUACAUAUGCAUAUAUUUGUGUAUUUUCGAUUUGUAUUUUAUUGGUUCUCAGGUGAUUUAUAAUAAAAAUAUUGAAUUUUGCAAUUUUUUGUUUGGGUUUAUGAAUUUCUUUUGUAUAAGCCAGUAUUCGUGUGUGUAUACAAUUGAUCGACUAAAAAUAUGGGGAAAAAAGACGAACAUAACUACGAAUUACUAUAGGUACCAUAGUUACAUGUAGUUAUUUUCAGUACAGUAAACAUAUUGUUUUGAAAAUUAAAAAAAAUAAAAAAUAAAUAUAUAUAUAUAUAUAUAUAUAUAUAUAUAUAUAUAUAUAUAUAUAUAUAUAUAUAUAUAUAUAUAUAUAUAUAUAUAUAUAUAUAUAUAUAUAUAUAUAUAUAUAUAUAUAUAUAUAUAUAUAUAUAUAUAUAUAUAUAUAUAUAUAUAUAUAUAGCGAAAAUGAUAAAUGCAGGACCAGAAAUGCUGAAUGCAGUUUGGCCGAAAAUUGCAUAUGAGGGUAGUAUAGUACUUUCGCUUCUCCAGAGGGUACGUCAAAGGAUGAUUUGGGCUUGAGUUUAUCCCUAGUUUAUUUGGUGGUUAGGGGGUAUGUAAAAUAACCCCUUUAUUUAAUUACUAAUAAAUGGGCUGAUGGGCUGGGCGAUCAUUUAAUAUUAAUAUAUCUCAAAUGUGUCACAUCAAGUGUAGGCGGUGAGGGAAAAUAUGUGAAAUGUAUCAUUUAAUAUUAAUCGGUAAAUGGCAAAUAGAGCGAUGACAAGAGCACUUAAUUAAAAAGAGACAUUCAACUUUUUUGUCUUGCAAAUUAUUCCACCUCAUUGAAACUUAUUUGCAAAUAAGAAAAAUCUUUUAUAUAUACCAAAAGUACCUCUUUCCUUGAAACCCUAAUUCAAUAUCAAUUUCAUGAUUUACACCAUAAUUUAGCACAAUUUCACCAAUUUUCACCGCCACCGUCAGUCUCUGUCGUUGAUUUUUUUUUUGAAACGUUUUAUUUUCUUAAUUUUUUUUUCAUUAGUAUUACUCUCUUGGCCUGCAAUAUUAUUGUCUCGGAGACAGUAAUUUAACUGUCUGAGACAGUAAUUUUACCGUAUUAAUUCAUUUAAUUGUCUUGGCCUGCAAUUUUGUUGUCUUCGACCGUAAUUUUACUAUCUCAUGCAUUAAUAUUAAUGUUCGGGACAGUAAUAUUACUAUUUUGGCAUUCAAUAUUACUGUCUCAGACAAUAAUUUUGUUCUUAAGACAGUAAUUUAGAGAGAAAAAAAAAAGUCAACGCCAGAGACCGUCGGCGGUCAACGUUGGUUGACCGACCGAAAAAAAAAAUUUAAAAAAAAAUGUUUUCAAAAAAUUAUGAAAAUGGGGUUAAUGUGACAUAUUUGUUCAAAUCCGGGGUCAAUGUGCAAUAUGAAUGAAGUUAGAGUAUAAUUGAUGGAAUUGAUGAAAAUUAUAUUAUGAGGGGUAAUUUAGACAAAAGACAUUGGGAUGGAUUUAUUUGCAAAACUGUUUUUUGUCCGGACAUUUGUGCAUUUAAGUUCCUUGUCAUGUAUCUAUUUGUUACUUGUCCAAUAAUAAUAUAACUAAUACGCUUCCUCAAAUGCAGGCGACAAUGAAAAGCUAGUGAAAUGUAAUAUGCCCAAUAAGUGCAUGCGACAAUGUAAGUGAAUUGUAUCAUUAAUAUUAAUAUCUCCAAUAAUACACCCCCUCAAGUGCGCAUGCAAAUUAGGUUUGAAACAUUCACUUGAAAUACUUCAAAUGAGUCACGAUGAAAUUCAAACUUAAAAUCUUUCGUUUAGUCUAAAGCUGAUACCAUGUUGAAUACAACUCAAAAAUGAAAAGAAAAACAUAAAAUGAUAAUGGUAUCAAAUAUGACAUUUACAAAACGUGGGAAAAUUACAGUUUAUGUCCAUAUAAUUUACCAAUAAAAUGAUUUAUGUCCUCAAACUUUGUCAUUCACGAAAUAUGUCCUCAAACUUGCCACUUUUCAACAAUUAAUGUUCUGCCGUAAACUCUGUCAGUCAAUUUGGACAGAAAUACUAUGUCGAUCUGGCCGUUAAAUGCCGAUAAGGCUGAUACACUGAGAUGAUGUGGCAAAAAAAUGACAUAGAGUGAUAUGUGGUUCUUUCCCUCUAUUUUAAUUUUAAAAUUCCCAAUUUCUCAUCCCCCUAUUUCAUUGAAUCGAAUGCAUAAACUCUACCUCCUAAAUUCCUGGUACGAAACAUCGAAUUGAGGUGAAAUUCUGCAACCACAAGAUUGCCCAACCAUAAUUUCGCAAAUUUCAAACAUUUGUGGACCUGGAACAUCAAAAUAGAGCAACAAUUAUUGAUUUUGGUAAGUUUCUUUAAAGUUGAUAUCUUUGAACUUCGUUUUGAGAAUUUGAGAGGUGGUAGUUUCGAUUUCAAUCAUAUUGUAUGUUGUAGUGUAGAAUAUGAGUAGAAUUUGGGGGUUGGGGUUUGUGCAUUCAGUUCAAUGAAUAGGGGAAUGGGAAAUUGGGGAUUUCAAUGACAAAUUGGAAAUUUUAAAAUUGAAAUAGAGGAAGAGAACCACAUGUCACUCCACGUCAUUUUUUUCGGGCACAUCAUCUCGGGGUGUCAGCCAGAUUGGCGUUUAACAGCCAGAUCGACAUCACGCGCGCCACACGUGAUAUUUCAGAAAAAUUACAGUUUAUGUCCCUAAACUUUACCACUAAAACGAUUUAUGUCCUCAAAUAUUUCAAUCCACGAAAUAUGUCCUCAAACUUGCCACUUUUGAUCACUUUAUGUUCUGCCGUUAACGUCGGGAGCUAACUUCGACGGAAAUAGCACGCGUGGCUCACGUGACGUCUAUGUGGCCGUUAAAUAUGACGUGGAAUAAUAUAUUGAAUAUUAAAUGUUGACGUGGCACAAGAAUAUACUAAUUUCCUCUAACUCACUCUCCCAAAUCCCAAAUCCCAAAUCACGUUUCAUUCCCAUACACCCUAAUUUUCCCACACUUCACAAUUUCAAUCACCUCAACCCAUUCCCAAAUUUUCAAUCCAAUCUGCAUUCUUGCUCGAACCCAUACUAAAAUCGAAGUUAUAAACCCAUAAAAAAUCCAAACAUUCUCACAUUCGAAGAGUUUUUCCCUUCUCAAAGAACAGCAGAUUCACAUGCAAACACAUGCCUGCAAUCGAGAGGAAGAAGGUAAACACAACUCCUCUUCUGGUUCUGAAAAAGAUUUUAGAGGAAGCUUUAAUUCUUCUCCCAACUCCGUCUCUAGAACGUUGGGGUCAUGUGAUUCUUCGCCUGCUGAUGCUUGUGCCCCUUGUGGUCUCGAUGAAGCGAGCACAAAGAUGGUGAAGAUGGCACAAAUUCGACCCAACUCAGCAGAUUCAGAACCUGCCCAGAAGGUGUUCGACAAAAUGUCUGAACCAAUUCCGGAAAAAUAAACAUGCAGCACCUGUCAAAGCUGCAUAUAAUUCUCUUUUUGCCAAGAAUAGAGUGCCCAAGAACGGAUUCCAGCUCCCCAACUUCCCCAACGAAGUGGAAGAAGACAUGAUAUUUCAGCCCGAAGAUGAAAGUGAAAUCGAGGAAACAUUCGGUAUUUGUUUAUUGGGCUAUUUUGCUGGUAAAACACCACGAAAAAUGGCCAUGGAUUCACAGACGAUUAUGCUAUUUUUGAAUUUCACCUCAAUUGAAGGAUUCGAAAUGGGGUUUUAGGGAUUGUAUUUACGGGUUCAUUGGGCUUAUGGAGAAUUAGGGAUUUUAUAAUAGAAAUAGGGGAGCAGAAUGACGUGUCGCUCCACAUCACGUUUCGUCGACCAAGUAGGCACUGGGUGUUGUACAGCUCGACAUUUCGGAAAAUCGGAAAUUUCGGAAAAUCGGAAAUUUUUGGAAUUACGUGUUUUCGGAAUAUUCGGAAUUCGUAAACUGAAGACAAAAAACCCAAAAUUGGACAAAAAGUUGAAAAAAAACAAAAAAUAUCGAAGCAAGAUCAACGAUUCAUAUGUAAAAAAUCAAGCAGUUUAUAUGAUUUUAAACAUAUAAAUAAUGUUAGCCAAGUGGCUUGUAAUCCAAAGUGAUGAUCAAACAAACAAUUGAUUAUGGAACUAAUGAAUUUUGUUGAGUCUUAUUCUUAUAAUUGAAGGCCCAAUGCCCUUGAACCAUCUUGCGAACAAGGCCCAACUCUUAUUUUCGAUAAAGCACUUUUUCUUUAGACAAUUCAUUUUCGAAAAUAAUCAAAUUCUCCUUUCAAAAAUAUGUUUGAAAGGAUCAGCCAACUCUCACUCUCUCUAUAUUUGCUGGAAAUAUAUUUGAAAGCAAAAGAUUUCUUUUAUAUUCUAUCUUUGGAAGAAAUUCUUUUAUUCAAAAAUCAAACCUGCGUUGAAUUGAUGUUUGGCUGAUUGAGACUCUAUCUCUUCAUUUUGGAAACCUGUCAAUCACUUCAUAAUCAACCAAUCAAAGAUUUUUACAAAAUUGUUUUCUGUCCGGAAGAUGCUCAUUUCUGCCGGAAGUUGUUAUGCUGAAAUGUGUUUAUGUUGAGAAAAUUUUUGUUCUUGAUUUCAAAAUUCAAAUGCUUUGCUAUUUGAGCUGAUCUAAUUGAAUCUAAUCAAUCAUGAUCUCAAACAAGUAAAUCAGGGAAAUCAAGAUUGAUGUUUUUCCUUUAGAAGAAGAUGAAAAGUAGAAAAAGAAAGAGACUUAGAAAAUAGCGGUGUUGCGGCGCUGAUUUCAGCAUAGCAUUUAGGGUUUGAAGCUUUUACAAGUAAAAAAUAAUUAAAUAAUUAUGUAAAAUAUAUAUUAUAUUAAUAUAUAUUAAUAAAUGUUAUUAAUAUUCGAAAAAUAUCGGAAAUAUGUCGUAAAUAAUCGGAAAUACAUCGGAAAAAAUCUGAAAUAGGUCGAAAAAAAUCGGAACUAUUUGGGAUCGGAAUUCGGAAAUUCCAAAAUUUUAAUAUGUAUUUCCGAUUCCGAUCCGAUUUUUUUAGUAAAUUUCAAAAAUCGGAAUUUUGGAGUUCAGAAGUGAAAAAAUCAUUCCAAAAUCAGAAUUAUUCGGAUCGGAUUCGACAGAAAUCGUAAAUUUUAUUCCCAUUUCCACUCUUACUAAUAUAUUUAUUUCUACAGACCUAUUCCUUAAAACAUCUCCUUUACUUUACGGUGGAGCCCACAAUUUCACUAUACAAGCUAUACACAUUUCACAAUUUCACUAUACAAAUUUAUAGUGGAUUUCGAUAAGUAUAUAGAGUGGUUUUCGAUAAAUUUAUAGUGAAUUUCGAUAAGUAUACAUAGUAAUUUUCAUGUUUAUAUAGCUGUUUAUAC